GGGUGUGGUACUGAGGCUUCAGCGGGUGCCGCCCGCCUAGAGGGAGUGGAGCGAGAGCCUACGACUAGAUUUGCAUCUUUACGUCCUGCGCGGAGGCUGCUACACACAUGCAGAAGUCAUGCUGGUGGCCUGGACAUUGAAGGGAGAGAAGUGGAUUUGGGAGACAUUUAGGAGAUGGCACCGAAAGCGAAGGAAGCUCCUGCUCCUCCUAAAGCCGAAGCCAAAGCGAAGGCUUUAAAGGCCAAGAAGGCAGUGUUGAAAGGUGUCCGCAGCCACACGCAAAAAAGAGGAUCCGCAUGUCACUCACCUUCAGGCGGCCCAAGACACUGUGACUCCGGAGGCAGCCCAGAUAGCCUCAGAAGAGCACCCCCAGGAGAAACAAGCUUGGCCACUAUGCUAUCAUCAAGUUUCCGCUGACCACUGAGUCGGCCGUGAAGAAGAUAGAAGAAAACAACACGCUUGUGUUCACUGUGGAUGUUAAAGCCAACAAGCACCAGAUCAGACAGGCUGUGAAGAAGCUCUAUGACAGUGAUGUGGCCAAGGUCACCACCCUGAUUUGUCCUGAUAAAGAGAAGAAGGCAUAUGUUCGACUUGCUCCUGAUUAUGAUGCUUUCGAUGUUGUAACAAAAUUGGGAUCACCUAAACUGAGUCCAGCUGGCUAACUCUAAAUAUAUGUGUAUCUUUUCAGCAUAAAAAAAUAAUGUUUUUCAUAAGAAUGACAACUUAAUUAGAAUCAAA
ensembl:lncRNA novel transcript